UAGGGAAUCUUCGGCAAUGGACGGAAGUCUGACCGAGCAACGCCGCGUGAGUGAAGAAGGUUUUCGGAUCGUAAAGCUCUGUUGUAAGAGAAGAACGAGUGUGAGAGUGGAAAGUUCACACUGUGACGGUAACUUACCAGAAAGGGACGGCUAACUACGUGCCAGCAGCCGCGGUAAUACGUAGGUCCCGAGCGUUAUCCGGAUUUAUUGGGCGUAAAGCGAGCGCAGGCGGUUAGAUAAGUCUGAAGUUAAAGGCUGUGGCUUAACCAUAGUACGCUUUGGAAACUGUUUAACUUGAGUGCAAGAGGGGAGAGUGGAAUUCCAUGUGUAGCGGUGAAAUGCGUAGAUAUAUGGAGGAACACCGGUGGCGAAAGCGGCUCUCUGGCUUGUAACUGACGCUGAGGCUCGAAAGCGUGGGGAGCAAACAGGAUUAGAUACCCUGGUAGUCCACGCCGUAACGAUGAGUGCUAGGUGUUAGACCCUUUCCGGGGUUUAGUGCCGUAGCUAACGCAUUAAGCACUCCGCCUGGGGAGUACGACCGCAAGGUU
rnacentral:rRNA from 1 species